GAUGAACGCUGGCGGUAUGCUUUACACAUGCAAGUCAUACGGAAGUUAGUUUCGGCUAACUUCAGUGGCGGACGGGUGAGUAACACGUGAGAAUUCGCCUUUAGGAGGGGGAUAACAGGGGGAAACACCUGCUAAAACCCCAUAUGCCUUCGGGUCAAAAGAGAAAUCUGCCUAAAGAGAAGCUCGCGGCUGAUUAGCUAGUUGGUGGGGUAAAGGCCUACCAAGGCGACGAUCAGUAGCUGGUCUGAGAGGACGAUCAGCCACACUGGAACUGAGACACGGUCCAGACUCCUACGGGAGGCAGCAGUGAGGAAUUUUCUGCAAUGGGCGAAAGCCUGACAGAGCAAUACCGCGUGAGGGAAGAAGGCUUACUGAGUUGUAAACCUCUGUUACCUAAGGAGGAAGAUCUGACGUUACUUAGGAGACGAAGCAUCGGCUAACUCCGUGCCAGCCACCGCGGUAAAAC
rnacentral:rRNA from 1 species